UUGUGGAAAACAAAAAGCCAAGAGCGGUGACAUGUUGAAACAAGCCCUGAAGAACUGCUGUUAACAGAACAUACUUCUGUGUUCUCUGAAGUGACAGAAAAAGGGGUCAUCAGUGAUUCAUCCAGCACCAAUAUAGUAACAAACUGUAACAUCAAAGAAGCAGGAACACCUUGCUUUACUGUUCUGGGAUUGACCAAACAUCUCUCUGUGCAUGCCUUCAAUAGUCCUUGCAUAUUGUAUUUAAGCAGAUAUAUCAGAAUUUAAUGCCCAAUGUCUUUCCUUGCUGGAAAGAAGGAUUCCAUCAUCCCACGUGGAACACAAUGGGCUCAAUGUCCCUUGAGCUGCACAGAAAAUUAACCAGGCAGGCAGGCUGGUGGACAUGCAUACCAAGAACCUCCAUUCCCCUGCAAGUCCAUGACUGAAGAUAAAUUAAACAAGGAUACGCCACUGCUCAUUCUCUUCGACAAUAAAUAAGAGGAAAA